rnacentral:rRNA from 2 species
CCCCGGUAAACGGCGGCCGUAACUAUAACGGUCCUAAGGUAGCGAAAUUCCUUGUCGGGUAAGUUCCGACCUGCACGAAUGGCGUAAUGAUGGCCAGGCUGUCUCCACCCGAGACUCAGUGAAAUUGAACUCGCUGUGAAGAUGCAGUGUACCCGCGGCAAGACGGAAAGACCCCGUGAACCUUUACUAUAGCUUGACACUGAACAUUGAGCCUUGAUGUGUAGGAUAGGUGGGAGGCUUUGAAGUGUGGACGCCAGUCUGCAUGGAGCCGACCUUGAAAUACCACCCUUUAAUGUUUGAUGUUCUAACGUGGACCCGUAAUCCGGGUUGCGGACAGUGUCUGGUGGGUAGUUUGACUGGGGCGGUCUCCUCCUAAAGAGUAACGGAGGAGCACGAAGGUUGGCUAAUCCUGGUCGGACAUCAGGAGGUUAGUGCAAUGGCAUAAGCCAGCUUGACUGCGAGCGUGACGGCGCGAGCAGGUGCGAAAGCAGGUCAUAGUGAUCCGGUGGUUCUGAAUGGAAGGGCCAUCGCUCAACGGAUAAAAGGUACUCCGGGGAUAACAGGCUGAUACCGCCCAAGAGUUCAUAUCGACGGCGGUGUUUGGCACCUCGAUGUCGGCUCAUCACAUCCUGGGGCUGAAGUAGGUCCCAAGGGUAUGGCUGUUCGCCAUUUAAAGUGGUACGCGAGCUGGGUUUAGAACGUCGUGAGACAGUUCGGUCCCUAUC